UACAGAGGGUGCAAGCGUUUGUUCGGAAUUAUUGGGCGUAAAGCGCGUGUAGGCGGCCGUGCAAGUCGGGUGUGAAAGCCCUCGGCUCAACCGAGGAAGUGCGCCCGAAAACUGCAUGGCUUGAGUACCGGAGAGGAUGGCGGAAUUCCCCAAGUAGAGGUGAAAUUCGUAGAUAUGGGGGAGGAACACCGGUGGCGAAGGCGGCCAUCUGGACGGAUACUGACGCUGAGACGCGAAAAGCGUGGGGGAGCAAACAGGGAUUAGAAAACCCU
rnacentral:rRNA from 1 species